AAAACUGCCCUCCGACGCCUUGAGGACUCCAACCCUAGAAGCUCGUCGUUCGUGCAGCGCUCUCGCUUCCCUCUUCGGUUUCGAUCUCUUCAGGCAUCCGAAAACCUCCUUCCAACAAUCUUCACAUCUUUCUGUUAAUCUAUCACACUGUGGGUAUUAUGUCGACUUUCUGGAAAGCCCUAACUGAAAGAAUCACCUGCAAGGCGACGCCAGAUAUGGGCAAGAUCACCAUGAAGGAUGACGCAGAGCUCCGCCGUAUGCACAAAAAAUGGAUGGUGAAGAUUGGGCGUAGAUAUGCAAAUGCUGAGGAGGAGGAGCGGCGUUUUCCAGAUCUUCAAGCAGACAGUGGAGAGGUGUGAAAGGCACAACGCAAAGAAGAAAGGUCACAUUGCAGGGUUGACCUGCUUCGCCGAUCUCACAUCCGAGGAGUUUACUGCCAGGUUCCACCCAAUUGAGUAUCCCCCCUGGGUUUAUGAGAAGAUGCGGGAGGAAAGGGAGAGGGAAGCCUUGCGAUAUGCCGGGCCGCCCGAAGAUUUGACUUGUUUCGGCUGCGGUGGCCCUUACUAGAACAUCAAGGCACAAAUAGUCCAUGCGGCGGUGUUGGUCUUGCUAGCGACUUGAUAGGUUAGGCACCUAGAAGAAAAUUUUAUGCUGCAACAGUUGUAGCGUCUACUAAUUUUAGUGGUGUGAUGAAACUCGUUGUUGAGCAAUCUUAGUGGUGUGGUGAAAUUCUCUAUUGAGUAAUCUGUCUACUACUAACCUUUUGCUAAGUAAUUUUGGUGGUGGUGUAGUGAAACUCUCUGUGGAGUAAUCUAUCUACUAUUAACCUUUGGUUAUUCUCUAAA